GGAUAAACCGUGGUAAUUCUAUGGCUAAUACAUGCGCAAAUACUGUAUAAUCAUAUUUAUUAUGAUUGUACAGUAGUGUUUAUUAGAUACAGAACCAACAGUGCGCCAUCACUUUUUAGUGGUGGUGUCAAAAGAGAAGGUGAUUCAUAGUAACCGAACGGAUCGCAUCAUAUUAUAAUCAUUUCGGUGAUUGGCGAUAGAUCAUUCAAGUUUCUGACCUAUCAGCUUUCGACGGUAGUGUAUUGGACUACCGUGGCAGUGACGGGUAACGGGGAAUUAGGGUUCGAUUCCGGAGAGGGAGCCUGAGAAACGGCUACCACAUCUAAGGAAGGCAGCAGGCGCGCAAAUUACCCAAUCCUGACUCAGGGAGGUAGUGACAAGAAAUAACAACACUGGAAAUUGUAUUUCUAGUGAUUGGAAUGAUGGGAAUCCAAACCCCUUUCAGAGUAACAAUUGGAGGGCAAGUCUGGUGCCAGCAGCCGCGGUAAUUCCAGCUCCAAUAGCGUAUAUUAAAGUUGUUGCAGUUAAAAAGCUCGUAGUUGGAUAUCUGCUGGAAGCAAUCAGUCCGCCCUUUUCGUAAGGGUGUGCACUUGAUGAAUUCUGGCAUGAUUUCAUCCUAAUAAUAAUAUAUUAUUAUAUUAGGUUGAUUCCUAGUAUAAUAAUAUUUAUUAUUAUGGGGAUGACAGUUACUUUGAGAAAAUUAGAGUGUUUGAAGCAGGCUUUUGUUGCCUUGAAUACUGCAGCAUGGAAUAACAAUAUAGGAUUUCGGUUCUAUUAUUUUGUUGGUUUUUUCUGUAGGACUGAAAUAAUGAUUAAUAGGGACAGUUGGGGGCAUUCGUAUUUAACUGUCAGAGGUGAAAUUCUUAGAUUUGUUAAAGACGAACUACUGCGAAAGCAUUUGCC
rnacentral:rRNA from 1 species